GCAGCCGUCCCACCGGUCGCCACAGCGGCGGCCCUCCGAAGGCAGAGGUCACACGUUCGAAUCGUGUCGGGUGCACCA
rnacentral:tRNA from 1 species